AGACUAUGCGGGUAAUUGGGCCACAACACCUGCCACUCUAUUGAUUGUGAGCAUUGAUUCAGAGUCUGGCUGGCCAGGUGAGUGGCCCUUUCCUCCUCACUACUCUGUGUGUACCCUUCCUGAAGCUGCAAGCUAGGUGGAAGAGAACGAACUUCCUCCAUUGUAGUGGUUUGAAUAGGAAUGCCCCUCCCCCACACACACACACACCCUAGACUCAAGCAUUAGAAUGCUUGGUCUAAGGGAGUG
rnacentral:sRNA from 1 species